rnacentral:rRNA from 1 species
AUUGAACGCUGGCGGCAGGCCUAACACAUGCAAGUCGAGCGGAUGAAGGGAGCUUGCUCCUGGAUUCAGCGGCGGACGGGUGAGUAAUGCCUAGGAAUCUGCCUGGUAGCGGGGGAUAACGUCCGGAAACGGGCGCUAAUACCGCAUACGUCCUGAGGGAGAAAGUGGGGGAGCUUCGGACCUCACGCUAUCAGAUGAGCCUAGGUCGGAUUAGCUAGUUGGUGGGGUAAAGGCCUACCAAGGCGACGGUCCGUAACUGGUCUGAGAGGAUGAUCAGACACCCUGGAACUGAGACACGGUCCCGACUCCUACGGGAGGCCGCAGUGGGGAAUAUUGGACGAUGGGCGAGAGCCUGAUCCAGCCAUGCCGCGUGUGUGAAGAAGGUCUUCUGAUUGUUGAGCACUGUAAGUUGGGAGGAAGGGCAGUAAGUUAAUACCUUGCUGUUUUGACGUUACCAGCAGAAUAAGCCCCGGCUAACUUCGUG